AUCGAAUUCGAGACGAAACAGUCAUUUUGUCGUCAUAUGCGAUUCUGUUAUCCUGAUAGUAGGUAUCUAUGAGUUGACCGUGGAUCCGUGCUGAAUUGAAUUUGGUGACCUUAUGGGACCUCGGCGACCUUGGAAGAUACCUAUGAUUGCCUAUAUCAUAAUGGCCGUCCGCGUUAUGAAGAUGGAAUGGCUGCAAUUAGCAAUACCUACCUAGGCGAAAACGCUCAGGGGGACCUCAUCCAGGCGUGAAAACACCGCGAGGCUGACCUGGACUGGGCGAGUGCGGCGAUCCUCUGGAGGCGGACCGAGGUGGUGCCGAGCCGGGACUGGCGCGCGGAGAGCCGGCAGACAGGUCCUGGAGAGCGGCCAUCGGCGAGGCGCGAGCACCGCCCGCCGGUGAGGCGCGUGAGACGGCGAUGGCCGCGCCGGCGGCCGAUACCGCCAGUGUUCCGUUCGCGGCUACCAUCACUGUAGGGAGACACGGGCAGGGGUCAGGUCAGUGGCGGCGCAGACAGUGUGUAACGUUUGAAACGUCAUUGGGGGCACACGGACAGCGGUGGUCAGUGGCGGCGGCAGACAGUGUGUAACGUUUGAAACGUCAUUGGGGGCACACGGACAGCGGUGGUCAGUGGCGGCGGCAGACAGUGUGUAACGUUUGAAACGUCAUUGGGGGCACACGGACAGCGGUGGUCAGUGGCGGCGGCAGACAGUGUGUAACGUUUGAAACGUCAUUGGGGGCACACGGACAGCGGUGGUCAGUGAUCGGUGGCGGGCAGACAAACGCCACAAUAGGUACAGGUAGCUCGUUUGCCUGCAAAACACAUUAAUGCAUAACAUACCUACAUCAUACAUGUAUGUGAAUUGUGAUCGUGAGCUUCAUAAAUCGUGACUGGCAAUUCUUGCCACGAAUGCGCCAGUCAAUAGCGUCAUUUGCUAACGCGCAAGUCGCAAGCUGAUGAUCGAAUGAAUAAAUGACAAUGCAAGCGUA